GGCCUGUUAGCCCAGUUGGGUAGAGCGCCGUGCUAAUAACACGGAGGUCAUGAGUUCGAUCCUCUUACGGGCCA
rnacentral:tRNA from 1 species